CAGUAGCCGCUGGAAUACGAAGGGGGCUAGCGUUGUUCGGAUUUACUGGGCGUAAAGCGCACGUAGGCGGACUUUUAAGUCAGGGGUGAAAUCCCGGGGCUCAACCCCGGAACUGCCUUUGAUACUGGAAGUCUUGAGUAUGGUAGAGGUGAGUGGAAUUCCGAGUGUAGAGGUGAAAUUCGUAGAUAUUCGGAGGAACACCAGUGGCGAAGGCGGCUCACUGGACCAUUACUGACGCUGAGGUGCGAAAGCGUGGGGAGCAAACAGGAUUAGAUACCCCAGUAGUCCCUGUCUCUUAUAC
rnacentral:rRNA from 1 species